UACGUAGGCAGCGAGCGUUGUUCGGAGUUACUGGGCGUAAAGCGUGCGUAGGCGGUGUCUUAAGUUUGUUGUGAAAUCUCCCGGCUUAACCGGGAGGGUGCGGCGAAUACUGAGAUGCUGGAGUGCCGGAGAGGUAAGCGGAAUUCCUGGUGUAGCGGUGAAAUGCGUAGAUAUUGGGAGGAACACCAGUGGCGAAGGCGGCUCACUGGCCCGAUACUGACGCUGAGGCACGAAAGCGUGGGGAGCAAACAGG
rnacentral:rRNA from 1 species